rnacentral:rRNA from 1 species
AACGAACGCUGGCGGCAUGCCUAACACAUGCAAGUCGAACGAGACCUUCGGGUCUAGUGGCGCACGGGUGCGUAACGCGUGGGAACCUGCCCUUAAGUUCGGAAUAACUCCCCGAAAGGGGUGCUAAUACCGGAUAAUGUCUUCGGACCAAAGAUUUAUCGCCUUUGGAUGGGCCCGCGUUGGAUUAGCUAGUUGGUAGGGUAAAAGCCUACCAAGGCGACGAUCCAUAGCUGGUCUGAGAGGAUGAUCAGCCACACUGGGACUGAGACACGGCCCAGACCCCUACGGGGGGCAGGAGGGGGGAAUAUUGGACAAGGGGCGAAAGCCGGACCCAGCAAUGCCGGGUGAGGGAUGAAGGCCUUAGGGUUGAAAAGCUCUUUUACCCGGGAUGAUAAGGACAGUACCGGGAAAAAAAGCCCCGGCUAACCCCGG